UCCGCGCCCCCCCUCCCUCGCCUCCCCCAUCUCUAAAAUUUUUAGAAUUUUCGCGCCCUAGCAAACCCUAAUGUUUCCCCACCCCACACCCCCAAUCUUACCCUCUCAAAUUUUCAGAAUAUCCGCUCCCCCCCUCUCUCACGCCGCCCCAUCUUUCCCUCUCAAAUUUUCAGAAUUUUCGCGCCCUCCCCCCACCUCCUCCGCCCUCUCCGCCGCCCCGCCCCAUCCCUUCCUCUCGAGCUUUCUCUCUCCUCUAGCUCUCGCCAAAUCAUCUCCUCAUCAGAUCACUGACCAAGAGAUCAGAGAGAAGAUGCCGACGUCGAAAGUGGGAUGUGGGGAUGGAGGUGUAAGUCGUCGGUGAUCAAGAAGGAGAACUGUGUGCUUCGAUGUCUAUCGCCUACUUGCUAUUCUCUCGUCUACGAGAGUGAUCCUCUUGAAGAGGGGGAGAAGGAUUAUGUUCGUAGCCAUGAGUACAAAUUCUGCAUGCGCAAGUAAGUGAAAUUCUUGAUUAGUAAUGUACUAGAACAAAUGCAGCAACGCAUAUGUGUCCAUUGAGGAAAUUUCUUCAAGGAAAUUCUAGUUUGAGAGAAAUUGAAAGAAGUGAAACAAGCUAUCCCUUCAGAGAGCACACAAUUAAUAUUUAACAAAACACUUCAUUGCAAGAAGGAAAUAGACCUGGCACUUGGAAAGCCAAAAACACUUUUAGCAAGUGGAUUUCAGCACAGAAGGAAAUUUACCUGGCACUUGGAAAGACAAAAACACUUCAUGCAAGUGGAUUGGUGCAUCUGAAAAUGGUGUGGAUUCUUGGAAUGAUGUUUGAAGAUACAGAGAACAAGCAUAUUUUCAAGAUGAAAGCUCAUAUCUUAUUUUCGCUUCAGAAUCUUAGAGUUGUGUUCAUAAGUGUAUGACGUAGGUGUGGGACUUCCCUCCAAGAGUUUUGAAGUAAAGCUUCGGUUCCUCCCACUGACUGCUAAUUCAGAUCAAGGAGGAAGAAACAUGAUGCUUCAACAAUUUGGAGGAGUAAAUGCAAUUGGAUUCUAUAAAUUAUGCAAAGUUCAUCAAGUUAUGUAAACAAUUGUAUACUUUAUAAUCUAUGUAAAAAAUUUAUGUAUCUUUCUAGUAUUUUGGUGAAUGUAUUUUUUAAAUAUAAUUAUAUUUGAUAUUGAAAUAUAAUUAGAUUGAUUGUGUUGUA